ensembl:lncRNA
CCCCCCCCCGCCAUCGUGUUUGUGAACACACUCAGAGACAACGAUGUCUUUCUCCAGCUGAGCUCAACUCCGAAUGAGCAACCCAACCUGAAAAGACACCUACAUUUUUUAAACUUUCUUUCGAAUCCACCUGACUCUUGAGUUUCAGGAAAUCAAUGCUGACGGAGAAAAUCUGCAUCCACGUUGUGUGAUAAAACCAUGAAGCUGGAGGAGCUAGUUUAUAAUUCUGAACUCAUCCCAUCCUGGUGUGAGCUCCUUCCAUGAUCUGCACUCAUUUUAUUGAAGGGAGAGUAAGUUCAGAGGUCGUCAGCACCAGAAACUAGAGCAGUAACAGCAGCAACCAGACAAGGCAGCCUUCCUUUGACAGCAGAACUCGAGGGACUUGCUCAAAUCCAGGGAGGCACAGGUGUGCAGAGACGAAAUGGGAUGGUGAUGCAGCCUGUGGCUUGGGAGUCGGACAGACAAAGGAAACUGUUUUGCAGCAAACCAACGUUAUGCUUGAGUCUUGGAGAAUAAUGAGUGAAUUUAUCAAACAACUCGUAUUAGCAUAAAUG